rnacentral:lncRNA from 1 species
GUCUUCUCUCCCUAAACCAACACAUGAUCUUCCUCUUUUGAAGUGCACCACACCAUAUGGCUAGAUGUUCAGUUCAUCAACGCCAAUUCUCCCAGCCGAUACUGAUAUCUGUUAGCGUGUGUCAUGUAGCUGUCUGAGAUGUUUCCCUUCCUUUAUAACAGUCUGCCUGUAUGUCAGGCUGCAUGUCACUCUGCAUGUCAGUCAGUGUAUCUGUACAUCUCUUUGUCUGUCUGUCUGCCUCUCUAUCAACAUGUAUUUCUGACUACUGAUCUCUCUCUCCGUAUAGAGAAAUAAAGAAUGUGGACUGUGUAGCCUUUAGAGAACCUAGACUGAGGCAAUUUAUCUCCAGGUCCAUAUAUUAUCUCCAGGUCCAUAUAUUAUCUCCAGGUCCAUAUAUUCCCCCAGACAGUAACACCCAGACUCUUCCAAUCAUGGCGAGCUACUUCAACAGGACCAGGAAGAGAAACGUCACCCUCUUUCAUCUAGACAUAACUCCACGAGACAACAGAACUGUCCAUGGUAGAAAAAGAGGAGAUCAUAUUUGAAAGAAGAAUCGUUCAUAAAUCUCUUAUUUAUGCACGGUCUCUAGUCUAGACUAUGAAGAAUGCAUUGGAGGCUGCUGAGGGGAGGACGGCUCAUAAUGGCUGGAAUGGAGCGAUUGGAAUGGCAUCAAACACAACGAAAGCAUGUGUUUGAUGUAUUGAUACCAUUCCCUCCUACCGCUCCAGCCAAUACCACGAGGCCAUCCUCCCCAAUUAAGGUGCCACCAACCUCCUUUGGAAGAAUGUCUCUUAGAACUGACUAGACCUCUGUUAUAAAGCACCAUGUCUAUAUCUCACAGUACCAGCUCAGUACAUCACAGUGGUUGAAGAUGUUACCAUGCUAGUGUCGCUAUGUUAGCUGUAUCUUACUGCAUUGGCUCAACAGUGUGUUGCUGCAUUGGUAUCUCACUGCAUUGGCUCAACAUUAUGUUGCUCCAUUGGUGUCUCACUGCUUUGGCUCAACAUUAUGUUGCUGCAUUGGUACAGUUGGAAGUUUACGUACACUUAGGUUGGAGUCAUUAAAACUUGUUUUUCAACCACUCCACAAAUGUAUUGUUAACAAACUAUAGUUUUGGCAAGUCGGUUAGGACAUCUACUUUGUGCAUGACACAAGUAAUUUUUCCAACAAUUGUUUCCAGACAGAUUAUUUCACUUAUAAUUCACAAUUCCAGUGGGUCAGAAGUUUACAUACACUAAGUUGACUGUGCCUUUAAACAGCUUGGAAAAUUCCAGAAAAUUAUGUCAUGGC